UACCACCGAGCGGCGGGUA
rnacentral:sRNA from 1 species